GUCAGGACAUUCCAAGGGCCCAGAUUCCCAGGAGCCAAGGGAAAAGGCCAGAUCUCUGUUUGGUGUAAAGAAAUGUGAAAAGACAACUUGAAAAUUGCCUGAAGAAAGACCACAUGGUGCAUGCUCGCCUAAGCAGAUGAUAGUGAAGAACCUCAGAUGGAAGUUUUAUAAGAUUUCUUCCAACUGUACCACACCCUGGCUUUUUCCUAUGAAUUUAAAUCGUCUCAUGUGAGUCCUAAGAAGAUGCUGUUAGAUACCAAUUCUCUGCUUCUCUGUGCAUAUGUGGAGGGGCAAGGGGGUGUGGGGGGAGGUGAGGAAAGUAAUUUGAUAGAAGCCAAAAUAAAGUGUAGAAAGGAGAGCGAAAAAAAAAAAAAAAAAAAAAAAACAAUAGGAGAAAUUCUGAUCUUUUAUUCCAAGGCGGUCAGAGGACAUAUACAUUUAUUUACUUACCACUGGAGACUUUUUAGGUAACUAACAAGCAAAAUCUCUGCUUUCCCCACCUUUAGGCCCAGAGAGGAAAAGAAGUUUGUCCAAGGUAACACAGGAAAAUUGUCAUAGUAAGCAGUGGCGAUUAUAUCUCCUGAACUGUGCUGUUUUCCUACCAAGCUGUGCUAAUUGCAAGGUGCCCCUAAUUAGAGUAACGGCUCCUUUCUCCUUUCAUUUUGAACCAAAGAGAGGAGCCUUAUGUCUGAUAAAAGAAAACACAGUAGACAGGGAAUAAUUUUCAGGCUCCUGCCUUCUCACAACUCAUUGUCCAACCCUUGGCUUUGUUGACAAUUUCAGAUGCGGGUUAAAUACAGCAAGGGGAAGUCAAUGCUACACCUUAAAAAUUAAUUGUUCAAGUACUAGGUCAUUUCAGAGUAAUGCACCGUGAAAUGAUGUUAUUCUCCAGAAGAAUUUCCAUAAAGUUUAACACGCCAUGACACAUUCUUUUGCCACUGGAGUUGGUUUUUAAAAAAAUAAUAAUAAUAAUACAUAAAAAGAGUCUUUGGAGCCUAGGGGUGUGUGUAUCCGUGGCUGCAGACAAAGCAGGACCAGUUAGACAUGAUUCUCAGAGCACCAGAUGCUUUGGGGUUGCUGCUAAAAAAGACCCCAUUACCAAGACAUGUCCCAUAAAAGCACAGCCUGGCUGGGCUCAGCGGAGGCAAGUG